rnacentral:rRNA from 1 species
CCUGGCGGCCGUAGCGCGGUGGUCCCACCUGACCCCAUGCCGAACUCAGAAGUGAAACGCCGUAGSGCCGAUGGUAGUGUGGGGUCUCCCCAUGCGAGAGUAGGGAACUGCCAGGC